rnacentral:rRNA from 1 species
AGGACGAACGCUGGCGGCGUGCUUAACACAUGCAAGUCGGACGAUGACGAUGGUGCUUGCACCGUCUGAUUAGUGGCGAACGGGUGAGUAACACGUGAGUAACCUGCCCUCCUCUUCGGGAUAACCGCCGGAAACGGUGGCUAAUACCGGAUAUGAAUGCCUGCCGCAUGGUGGGUGUUGGAAAGAUUUAUCGGUGGGGGAUGGACUCGCGGCCUAUCAGUUUGUUGGUGAGGUAAUGGCUCACCAAGGCGAUGACGGGUAGCCGGCCUGAGAGGGCGACCGGCCACACUGGGACUGAGACACGGCCCAGACUCCUACGGGAGGCAGCAGUGGGGAAUAUUGCACAAUGGGCGAAAGCCUGAUGCAGCGACGCCGCGUGGGGGAUGACGGCCUUCGGGUUGUAAACCUCUUUCAGUAGGGAAGAAGCGAGAGUGACGGUACCUGCAGAAGAAGCGCCGGCUAACUACGUGCCAGCCGCAGC